UACGGAGGGUGCAAGCGUUAUCCGGAUUUACUGGGGUUAAAGGGUGCGUAGGUGGGCAGGUAAGUCAGUGGUGAAAUCUCCGGGCUUAACCCGGAAACUGCCAUUGAUACUAUCAGUCUUGAAUACCGUGGAGGUAAGCGGAAUAUGUCAUGUAGCGGUGAAAUGCUUAGAUAUGACAUAGAACACCAAUUGCGAAGGCAGCUUACUACCCGAAUAUUGACACUGAGGCACGAAAGCGUGGGGAUCAAACAGG
rnacentral:rRNA from 1 species